rnacentral:rRNA from 1 species
AUGGAGGAACGAGAACGGGCUCCGGCGGCCUUUUACUUGGAGGGGGAGCACUCCGGCGACGAGGAGGCUAGGGAGAGUGGGCGGGGAGACUCGCGGGGACGAGGGGUAGACUAUGGUGGCGACAGGAGGGAGAGAGGAGCACCGGAUGGCCGGGACGACGAGAUGGCCGAACGGUGGAGGCGGCGGCCGGACUUGGGAGACGCGGCCCCGGGGCUCUUAGGCAAGGGGAAAGGGGUUGGGGCGAUGCGCAAUGAUUCGAGGAAGCUCGUGGACAACAACGGAGGAGAGGAUGAGGCUCCAGCUAGCCGGGACCAAGGAGGAACCGCGGCGGCCGAGGCGAACUGUGGCGAAAAGAGGAGAGGGCCGAGGACUCUGGUGGGUGAGGAGGCUUGGGGAGAGGCUGGUGAGGUGCGGAGGGACUCGGGCACUCCUUAUAUAGCCGAGGGGAAGGCUCUAGAGCUCACAAGCGAGCUUGAGCAGUGCUCUAAUGGAGGUGCCAGAUCCUUAGAGGUCGGGGCAGAUGGCUGCCUCCUCCCUCCCUGCGAGCUGGCUCUCUAUGUGGCAGCCUUCGAAGGACCACCUGCGCCAGAUCCCGCACCAGCAUUCCGAUGA